GAAAAGCUUCAUCCUCGAAUCGAUACCUGGAUCAAACACAAAAAACGAGGGAUGAAUGAUGAUAAAGCACUUGUAAUUAUUAAACUUACCAAGUUUAUAACAAGAGGAAAUGAUAGAAUGCCAUGUAUCAUUCUAAGACCCAUGAUACGGCCUAACAACUCAUUUGAAUGAAUAGAAGCUUCAAAAUAACAUGCAAGCAUCCGAACAAGUAAACUUUCUAAAGCGACUCGAUAAAGUCGAUGUGUCACACAACUUGCAUGCAUAACAUAUAAGGUAGGACAAAGAAUUUCAUGCAAAUAAAUUACUUUAAACACUAUAUUUAUCAACCCACAAACUUCAAAUAUAUCAUAAACACAAACACAAAGAUGGCAUGACUUAAUGGAAAUGAACAACACAUAAGGACUCGAAACUAGACUUAUACCAUUAAGACAAACACAACUUACAAAAUGACUCAAAUUGACUCAAAUUGACUCUAGUAUGACCAAUAUUACGCAACAAACAACUCUAUUAAGAUGAGAAACAAACACAUACUUAACUAACACAAAUUGAUUAUCCAUAUUAUGCACAUAGACAACCUCACCCUCUGGCUUUGAUACCAGACGUUUAAGGGGGAAGUAGGGUGAUGGCUAUAUUUCUCUACUUAUUAUGAUGUUGCUAGUGUAGAUCUACAAGUUUAGAUCUGUCUGAUAAGAUUGUUUAACUUCAUGAUUACUAUCUAAUGUAAUCAAACUUGUUAUAAUAUUGAUAGUAUCGAUCUAUGAACUUAGAUCUGUCAUAUGGAUAUGGAGCCUGUAAUUGCCAACCUCCGGUCCAGACAAUAAGGCCAUGGGAUUUAGCAGUAAGUCCUACAGGGAUGUUGAGAUUCUUGUGGUCCGAGAUCCAGGACGGUGAAGUGUUCAAAGGAUCAGAUCUAACUUCAUAGAUUCAUACUACUGAUAUUAUAAAUUUGUUUGGAAAUAUAGUCGUCAUGCAUUGUUAAUCUUUCUCAAAAGAUUAGAUCUAUUCUUAUAACAUCCUCACUAUCUUUAUUAUAAUCAGUUUAGAAAUAUAGUUAUCCUCCAUGGAUCCCGAAGGAUUCUAUACCAAAGGGAACGAGAUCAUAAGAUUAUCCUUUUACUAGUCUUUUUGCAGUUUUUGUUAUUACUUUCUCAUAGCUUCAUUUGUUAGGACAAACUUUUUGUUCAAGUUCGUGGGAUUGAAACCAGUUAAAGUCCAUCCGCGGGAUUGAAGCCAGUUGAAAUCCAUGGAAAUAUCAAUUCAAAUUCAACAUUGAAGUCCGCCAAACACCUAUAUAAAUAGGUAGACGACAUAUGAAGAAGGCAAUCGAGAAAUCAACAGUCUUGAAAAUUUUCUCUCAUGUUCAGUAAAUAAAGAGAUAGAGAGAGAGAGAGAGAGAGUGUGUGUGUGUGUGUGUAGUGUGCUAAGCCUAUAUCUUAUACUAAAACUUUCUUCACUAAUAAAAGAAGCAAGUUUCAUCACAACUUUUCAUAUUUACAUCUAAGUACACUUAGAGGUAGGAAACGAAACUAAGUUGCACUGCAAGACUUUGAAGGGGCUUUUAAAGGAAGUCACCCUGGUGGUUGGAGGCUGCAAUACCCAAGUAAGAAAUACUUUGGGAGGUAGCAGGAAUUUUAUCGGUCAAAAAUCAGAUCUAAGGUAUGGAAGCGUAUUGGACCCCUUUCUUUUGUUAAUAAGAAAUUGUUAGUCAUGAUAUAGUUUGCACUCUAUUCUCUUGAAAAUUUUUAUGGAAGAUAUUCAAACCUAUUUAGUACCUUAUCAAUAAAUAUUACACAUCCUAAAUACACUUUAGAAAUAAAAAUAUUUUUUACAUCUAGAAUAAUAAAUAUGAAUAUCUUGCUAGCCAACUCAAGUUUAAAUUUUGACUUAAAUUUGGGCACCAAAAUGGUAUCAGAGCCUAUAAAUGAUCCCACAAUUCUCAGAAAUAAUCUACAUAUUCCCUUAAGUAAUAACAAUGAUUAUAUUUCUGAUGAAGAAUUUGAAGCAAACUCAGUACCUAUUAGAUAUUUUGAAUAAUGGAAUAGAAUUUGAUGAUUCUGAUUGGCACUAUCCAUCUCGUUAAAAUGGAAGAAUGUCAAAUAUGUGAUUCAAUAUUAUUUUUUAUUAAAGAAUAUGCAUAUCAGUUACAACAAUUAAAUGAAAGAAUUACAUAUUAUCAAGAAAGGUGGGUUCAUGUCACUUUGUAUAAUUGUAAUCCAGUUACCUGCCAUAAUAGAUACAAGAUCUUAAGAGAAAUUGAACAUGAAAAAUAUUUAAUAACUAAUAAAUAUGCAAAACUAAAUAAAGACGUUACUGAUCAUUAGAGAGAAACUCAUUUAAAUCCACCAUGAAUUCUUACGAAAGAAUAGCAUAUUGCCAAGAAUGUCAAAAAUUUAUUAGUAAAGGUCUAACAGCCAAAUCUAAAAUAAAUAAAGUAAAACAACUUAUUGUUAAAUAUUCCUUUGAAGAAAUAGUAUUAGAAGUAUUAACUAUAUUAUUAGAAAUAGAAAAGAAAAUUUUGAAAAAAGUUGUACGAGAAAGAAAUUUACAUUUAGUAAGAACUCAUACACGAAUUAAGACAAUUACAAAAUAAUAGAACCUAGAAAUUUAAAAAUAGAGAAAGACUUAUUUGAAAUACAAAGAACAAUGUUAUACAUACAUCAAGAUCUGAAGAAAGAAAUUCAAAUAAUUAAAGAAAAACUAGAAAAAAAAUAAAUUCAGAAGAAAAAACUACCCAAUAAAGAAAUAAAACCACUAUAGAAUACCUAUCGGAACAUGUUGCUAAAAUAAAAUGAGUGAGUCUAAAGAUAACUUUACUUGUCUCUCAGAUUCUGAAAUAGCAAAUAUAAGUAACAAACUUAAUAAUCUGAUGAUAAAUAUAAAAUCGGAUACGAAACUAGAAAUAUGCCCAAAUAUAAAUGAUAUACCUUCAUCCAGUAAACCCGCCUCCUCAUAUGCUAGGCGUAAACCUGAUUUAGGAAACUCUUUCAUUUCAUCAUUAAUGACUAUAGCAAAGCAAAAAGGCUAGUUAGACAAUGAAGACCAUACACUUUUAGAUAGGAUCACACCUGAAACUAUAUUUCCUUUUGAAACAUUUUUAGAUUUAGACUGUGUAAAAAAUACAGAAGAAGCGAUAGAUAAAUGAAAAUUUAGAUCAAGAUUAGCUGCUUUUAUAAAUAAAUUAUCAUAUGAAGAGUCAAAAGAAUUUUUAGAAAGAUAUCUAGCAAAUAGCGUCUCUCGAUAUUGGAAGACAUUAUCAGAAGAGAUUAAAACAAUAAUAGAUGGAGAAGAACAAGAUACAAAUGGUAUAAUAACUAAAACACUUGAAUUAUUCGUUUUGAAUUUGUUGGUGAAGGAAGUUAUUUUAAAGAUGCUAAUUCAGUUAAAAAAUAUGCUAAUGCAUUACUUAAAUUAACACUAUGUGAUAUGUGUGAAAUAGAUAAGUAUAUCUGUGUUUUUCAAGAUUAUUAUUAUAGAACAAAUUGAAGAAAAGAGAAACAUAUUUAGAAAUAUUUUUCUCAAAAAUUUCUGACCCAUUGGGUAAGAAAUUAAGAGAAAAAUAUAAUCCUAGAACUAAAGAUACUCUAGGAAAAAAAUAUUCCAUACAUUAGAUAAAUUAAAUAAAUGGUGUGAAGAAUUCAUAUUCUUUAUAAAGACACGUAAUAUAAAAUAUCAAUUGAGACUAUAUUGUAAUAAUAUUAAUAUGCCUACCCAAAUAGGAUAUGCUAGUCCAUAUUAUUAACAUAAGAUGAAAAAUAGAUAUAAAAAAUGAAAGUAUUUUAAAAGAAAAUAUAUGAAAAGAAAAAAGGCUAAAUACCACAAAUGUAGAGAAAAUUUUUCAAAAAAGAAAAGAUAUAUAGGAAAAAUAAAAGAAAAAGAAAUAUAACAGAUUGUCAAUAUUAUUUUUGUAAAAGAAAAGGACACUUACAAAUCAAUGUCCUAAAAAAUUUAAUAAAAAGAGAUUUGAAGUGGAUGAUGAUAUUGAAGACUUGAUUAACAAUAAUGAAUUAAUAAAAAUAAAUAGAUUUGCAGAAAUAAAAGAAAUUUCUUCCAAUGAAAGUAUAUUUAUCUUUACAGAUACAGAAUACGAAAUAUGCAGUGAAGAUGAGUGAAAUAGAAGAAGAGAAAAAGAAUUCUUCUAAAAUGUUAGAUAUUCAUUCAGAAAAAUUAGGUGAAUAUAGCCAAGAAGCACUUAUAGAUAGAAAAAUAUUAACAAAAAUUCAAAUAAAGUAAUUUUUUGAUGAGAUGUCUUUGAAACCGGAUUUUAGCUGGAAACAGACACUUCAAAGGAUACCCAUGAUGGAUAAUAUAAUUAAUGAGCACCUGCUUGUUUCUGAAUCCAAUUCUCACAUGAGAGAAUUAUAUGCCUUAUAAAAAUAACUUCCUUCACCAACAAAUUCAAAACGAAUUAAUUCAAGUGCUCUAGUUGUCAUAUCAUUUGUAUCUUGUUCUUCUUCAUAUAUUAUUGUUUUAGUCUCUUCUGAUAAUGUCUUCCAAUAUCGAGAGAUGCUAUUUACUAGAGAUCUUUCAAAAAACCCUUUUGACUUUUGAUAUGAUAAUUUAUUUAUAGAAACAGCUAAUUUUAAUCCAAUUUUUCAUUUAUCUAUCACUUCUUCUAUAUUUUUUCAUUUAUCUAUCACUUCUUCUAUAUUUUUUACACAGUCUAAAUUUAAAAAUAUUUCAAAAGAAAAUAUAGUUUCAGGUAUGGUCCUAUCUAAAAGUGUAUAACCUCCAUUAUCUAAAUAGCCUUUUUGUAUAGCUAUAUUCAUUAAUGAAAAAUGAAAAAGUUUCCUGCACCAGGUUUAAGCAUAGCAUAUAAGGAGACAGGUCUACUGGAUGAAGAUAUAUUAAAAAUGUUCCAAAUUUAGACACAGUCUAAAUUUAAAAAUGUUCCAAAAGAAAAUAUAGUUCCAAGUGUGGUCCUAUCUAAAAUUGUAUAACUUUCAUUGUCUAAAUAGCCUUUUUGCUUUGCUAUAUUCAUUAAUGAUGAAAUAAAAGAGUUUCCUGAACCAAUUGACGCCUAACAUAUGAGGAGGUAGGUCCACUAGAUGAAGGUAUAUCAUUUAUAUUUGGGUUUAUUUCUGGUUUCAUAUCCGAUUUUAUAUUUAUUUUCAAAUUAUUAAGUUUGUUACUUAUAUUUUCUAUUUUAGAAUCUAAGAGACAAGUAAAGUUAUUUUCAGACUCACUCAUUUUAUUUUAGCAAUAUGUUCUGUUAGGUAUUCCAUAGUGGUUUUAUUUCUUUAUUCGGUAGUUUUUUCUUCUAAAUUUAUUUUUUCUAGUUUUUCUUUAAUUAUUUGAAUUUUUUUCUUCAGGUCUUUAUAUAUAUAAUAUUGUUCUUGUAUUUCAAAUAAGUCUUUCUCUAUUUUUAAAUUUUCAGGUUCUAUUAUUUUGUAAUUGUCCAAAUUUAUGUAUGAGUUCUUACUAAAUGUAUAUUUCUUACUCGUACAACUUUUUCCAAAUUUUUCUUUUCUAUUUCUAAUAAUAUAUUUAAUGCUUCUAAUACUAUUUCUUCAGAGGAAUAUUUAACAAUAAGUUGUCUUACCUUAUUUAUUUUAACUUUAGCUGCUAGAUCUUUACUAAUAAAUUUGUGUUAUUCUUUCAUAAGAAUUCAUGGUGGAUUUUAAUGAGCUUCUCUAUUAUAAGGAUCGAAGACAACCUAAGAGAGGGGUGAAUUAGGUUGAUUAUAAAGCUAAUCAAGUUAUGGGCACUUUUUGACUCAAUAUGAAAUUUACCCUUUUUUUUAAGUGAUCACACAAUGAAUCAAUCAAUGGAUGAACAAUAUCACUUGAGAGAAGUAGAAGAUAUAAGCAAUUUAAAGAUCACAAGAUAACAAUAAAUAAAUAAGAAGGGAAGAAUUGCAAACCAAUUGACUACCAAACUCCUCUUGAACUUGUAGAUCAAUUCAAACAAACUUCUUCAAAUUGAUGAAAUGCAACCAAUCUUGUGUACAAAGGAAGGCUCACUUCCUCCUUGCCCAAUCUCCACUUGGUCAAACUAGGAACUUUUACUAUCCCUCAGGACAACCCUCAUAGAGUUACAUUAUUGAAGUAUUCACUCACAAAUGAAAAACUAACAAU
rnacentral:lncRNA from 1 species